UUCACCUUUGCAUUUCAUUCGUCUGGUUCGUACAGUGCCUUCACAAGACUAUUCAAGCGAUUGGCUCACUGAUGGAUGAAGAUGAUGAGUGAUCGGCAAAGGCCUUCUGGAGUCCCAAGUAUUCCCUCAAACUCUGUGUCUCUAUGUGUUUGUUUUUGAUGACAUUGACCCAAAACACAUUGCCACCCGGGUUUGCAUUGCAAAUGAGGGCAUAAACUGGGUCAAGACGCCAGCAGA